CUCCUGGAAGGAAUCUGCUUCCCUGUGGGACUGCCCAGCUUUCAGCCCUGCUGCUGGGGGAAGGUUCACCUGCAUUUACAAUAUUAUUUGUGAGAAGAAACCUGGGUGUGCUCAUUUCUUGCUGAGGUUUCCCUCACUGCUCUUCUCUCCAGCUCUGCAGAGACCUGCCUGACUCACUGCAGGACUUGGAAACAGCCCCCAGGGAUGGCUCAGCUCAGAAGAAGAGAUCACAGACACACACUCCUCACUUCCACCCAAUUCCACGCUGCUUGCAACUGGAACAGGGGAAAACCUCUGCAGCUUGUGGCCUCUGACAGAUGGCCAGGAAUGGGAUCCCCCACGUUCUCCUCCCAGUCUGAGAAGACAAGAAAAUAAACAAGGAAAAUGUCUGUGCUGAUGGCAUCUGUUGGCUCCAUCAUAAGAUCAAACAUUGCCGUGGGUUUGGGGUCCCAGGGAGUGGAGCACCUCGGACUUCUGAGCCCUUGCCGUGGUGAAAAGCUGCAGACAGAACUCCCCAGCAAAUGUCUUCAUAAUACUUAACAUUCAAUGGAGCAAAAGGAGAAUAAUGAGCACUGCAGCCAUCCCAGGUACCUGUACGCUCAUUUUCCUGGAUUUCUGACUUGGAAAGCCUCUCUGUGAUGCAGUACCUGCUCCCGAGGGUUUUCCUGGCUUCAGGUGGGAGUCUCCACUUUAAUGAAGCCUUUGGCUGAUGGAGGGAAAAGGAUGGAGUCACAUUUCUCUGGAGAAGAGGAGGGAACAAUCCAAAACUCCUGUCCCAAACUCAGGGAGCUCAGGAGGUUGAAAUAACCUGAUGAAGAACCACAGCUCACGCAACCAAAUCAGGUGUAAGAAAACUCCAUCUAAUACCUUCUGCUCCAAGAAUGUGCUUUCAGCCAGCGGAGCAGUAAUUAAGAGAUGAUUCCCCCCUCCUCUCCACUGGAGAGGCAGCUUGUGUUGAAAAACCAGCCCUUCACAAGGAGGGAGAACCAUCUGUCCUCUCUCUGA